UACAGAGGUCUCAAGCGUUGUUCGGAUUCAUUGGGCGUAAAGGGUGUGUAGGUGGCGCGCUAAGUCGGGUGUGAAAUUUCGGAGCUUAACCCCGGGUCUGCAUUCGAUACGGGCUAGCUAGAGUGUGGUAGGGGAGAUCGGAAUUCCUGGUGUAGCGGUGAAAUGCGCAGAUAUCAGGAGGAACACCGGUGGCGAAGGCGGAUCUCUGGGCCAUUACUGACGCUUAUGCACGAAAGCGUGGGGAGCAAACAGG
rnacentral:rRNA from 1 species